UUGCUCUCUUGGUGGCGAGUGGCGAANGGGUGAGUAACGCGUAGGAAUCUACCCUAGAGAGGGGGACAACCCGGGGAAACUCGGGCUAAUACCGCGUAAUCUCUGAGGAGCAAAGGGUGCCUCUAUUUAUAAGCAUUCACUUUAGGAUGAUCCUGCGUCCGAUUAGCUAGUUGGUGUGGUAAAGGCUCACCAAGGCGACGAUCGGUAGCUGGUCUGAGAGGACGAUCAGCCACACUGGGACUGAGACACGGCCCAGACUCCUACGGGAGGCAGCAGUGGGGAAUAUUGGACAAUGGGGGCAACCCUGAUCCAGCAAUGCCGCGUGUGUGAAGAAGGCCUGCGGGUUGUAAAGCACUUUCAUUGGUGAGGAAGGCUUCAUUACGAAUAGUGAUGAAGAUUGACGUUAGCCAAAGAAGAAGCACCGGCUAACUCUGUGCCAGCAGCCGCGGUAAUACAGAGGGUGCAAGCGUUAAUCGGAAUUACUGGGCGUAAAGGGCGCGUAGGUGGAGUAUCAAGUUGGAUGUGAAAUCCCCGGGCUUAACCUGGGAGUGCCCAUAC
rnacentral:rRNA from 1 species